rnacentral:rRNA from 1 species
UACGGGGGGGGGCAAGCGUUGUUCGGAAUUACUGGGCGUAAAGGGCUCGUAGGUGGCCAACUAAGUCAUACGUGAAAUCCCUCGGCUUAACCGGGGAACGGCGUCUGAUACUGGAUGGCUUGAGUUUGGGAGAGGGAUGCGGAAUUCCAGGUGUAGCGGUGAAAUGCGUAGAUAUCUGGAGGAACACCGGUGGCGAAGGCGGCAUCCUGGACCAAUACUGACACUGAGGAGCGAAAGCCAGGGGAGCAAACGGG